CUUCAUUCAUUUACUUACCUCUCGUCUCUCUUUCUAUUAUAAUAAUGUAUAUUAUUAUAGAUAUAUAUACACAUACAUAUAUAAUAUAAUAUUAUUAUAUAUUUGUGUUAUAUUUUAUAAUACGUUAUUAGUACGAUGUCUUUAUUGCUGGAGCUUUUAUGAGAUAAGUAAAUUUAUAUUGUUUUCAUAUAUAUUUAUAAAACAUAAAUAUUAUAGACAUCGUGAAAUUAUGCUUUUUUUCGGAUUGAUCAUCGUAAAUUUUAGACGUUAUCUCCUUUACGAUCAAAUCUAUAGCUAAAUCAUAUCCGGAUAGAUCAUUAGAUGGUAGGCUCUGCCUCCUUUACGAUCAAAUAAAAGCUAUGUCUUUUUCAGAUAGAUAGAUCGUUAUAUAUGGAAGGUUAUGCCUCCUUCUAGAUCUAACAAAAGACUAUGUCUUUUCCAGAAAGAUCGUUAAAAAUAGAAAGUUAUGCCUCCUAUAUGAUCAAAUAUAAAGGCUAUGUCAUUUUCUGGAUUGAUCGUUAUAAUGCGAUCAAAUAUAUAGCUAUGUUAUAUCUGAAUUGAUUGUUUAAUAUAUGGUAGGCUUUGCCUCCUUCACAAUCAAAUAAAAGCUACUCCCUCCGAUAUGAAAUAAGUGUCGUUCUGGAAAAAUUCUCUUAGAUUAAGAAAGUGAACAAUUUGACUAUUUUAACCUCAGAAAACUCAAGAGGAAAGAAAAAAAUGACUUCACCAAGCAAACGCAGAGAAAUGGAAAUGAUGAAACUGAUGAUGAGCGAGGGACAAACCUUGGGAUCAUCUCUAAUCUUUGGUAUUUGAUUAGUACAGAAGCAACAUGACUCGGAUUUUGGUUCAACGUGGUUCGUCAGGCAGUUCUUCCAACUCAACCCGCUCUUCUUCCUCUUCUGGCUCAGCUUCUUCCUCAGAACAGAGUCACAGAUAAACAAUAAUACUCCAGUAACGAUCGAUGAAGAAAUUACUGAUGAAAAAAAGAAGAUGAGGUUUCCGUUGUUGAUCAACCAGAGUGUUUUGAUGCUAAGAAUGUCGUAGUGGACAGUGAUGUACCUGUGGAUAGAGAAGAUGAUGAAAGUUUGGUAGUUUCAGAAAAUGUUCAUGUUGAGAGUGAAGGUAUAAAUUGUGAUUCUCCGUAAGUGGUGGCAGUAACCCUGAUUCCAUUUUGCUGUUUUUCAUGUUUAUGACUAACCCUCAAACCCAAUAUAUAUAUUCAUGAAUGACUCUUCAUAUUAUGUCUCUUGA